rnacentral:misc_RNA from 1 species
UUUAUAGGACUUUAAAAAAAAAAAAAAAAUCCUCAAGGUGCAAAACUUAGUUGUAUAAAUAGUGCAGAAAAAAUAUUUAAAUCGCCUCUGACAGAUGUAUACCAUGUUUUCGCCUAGGGGAGAAAAAAAAAAAAAAAAGAAAAUUAUCAAGUUACAAAGUUGUAAUAUUUGUCGAUAUUUUACUUUUUUUAAUAAAUUUCAGCCGUUAAUUUUCAAUUGUAUUUGAUGUUAGUCAGUUGAUAUGCAGGUGUGCCUGCUAAUGCUUAUUAAUGAGUUCACC